GAUGAACGCUAGCGGCAGGCUUAAUACAUGCAAGUCGAGGGGCAGCAGGGGUAGCAAUACUCGCUGGCGACCGGCAAACGGGUGCGGAACACGUACGCAACCUUCCCAUAACUGGUGAAUAGCCUUCCGAAAGGGAGAUUAAUACACCGUAACAUAAUGAAGUGGCAUCACUUUAUUAUUAUAGCUCCGGCGGUUAUGGAUGGGCGUGCGCCUGAUUAGGUAGUUGGUAGGGUAACGGCCUACCAAGCCUUCGAUCAGUAACUGGUGUGAGAGCACGACCAGUCACACGGGCACUGAGACACGGGCCCGACUCCUACGGGAGGCAGCAGUAAGGAAUAUUGGUCAAUGGACGCAAGUCUGAACCAGCCAUGCCGCGUGAAGGAUGAAGGCCCUCUGGGUUGUAAACUUCUUUUUAUCUGGGACGAAAAUAGGACUUUCCAGCUUACUUGACGGUACCAAGAGGAAUAAGCACCGGCUAACUCCGUGCCAGCAGCCGCGGUAAAACGU
rnacentral:rRNA from 1 species